UGGGGAAUCUUCCGCAAUGGACGAAAGUCUGACGGAGCAAUGCCGCGUGAGUGAUGAAGGUUUUCGGACCGUAAAGCUCUUUUGUUUAUGACGAAUGUGCAUGAUGUGAAUAAUGUUGUGUAAUGACGGUAGUAAACGAAUAAGCCACGGCUAACUACGUGCCAGCAGCCGCGGUAAUACGUAGGUGGCAAGCGUUGUCCGGAAUUAUUGGGCGUAAAGAGCAUGUAGGCGGUCCUUUAAGUCUGGAGUGAAAAUGCGGGGCUCAACCCCGUAUGGCUUUGGAUACUGGGGGACUUGAGUGCAGGAGAGGAAAGGGGAAUUCCCAGUGUAGCGGUGAAAUGCGUAGAUAUUGGGAGGAACACCAGUGGCGAAGGCGCCUUUCUGGACUGUGUCUGACGCUGAGAUGCGAAAGCCAGGGUAGCGAACGGG
rnacentral:rRNA from 2 species